rfam:Caenorhabditis remanei strain PB4641 contig44.15, whole genome shotgun sequence.
CGAAAGGUUUUUUUAAAAACUAUCCAAAUAUUUUUUAUGACGAUUU